GUUGUUUCGGCUCCUGUUCUGUGGGCGGCUGAGGACCGCCGGCUGCCCGGCUCGGAGAAGAACAGAGUCUACAAAAUGCAUUAUUAAAAAGGCAGGAAGAAAACUGGGCUUUAUCAAGGGAGGGUGACAUAGAAAAUUAGAAGAAAAAAUUGGUGAGUUGGACAGUCUAAGCAGUUAAUCUAGACAAGGUGGAAAGAAAAGUGAAAACAGCUGAGCUGAGUAAGGAAGACGAAGAACACUGAAAACAGGGGCUGGAAGUCCUAAAUGUAUAUACUGUCUCUCAGCUGACUGACUACGUUUUGAAAAGAUUUAUUCAUGUAUGUCAAGAUAAGGCAAGAGAUCUCCUAAAACCACCAGCUUCUCUCCUUACGUAUCUGAAGAAACUCUUUCCUCAGAGAACUCAAGUAAAUCUUGAGCAAGCCUGUAUACUGAAGUCAGCUUUCCACGUCAGAGUGACACUGUUGAGGUAGAUCCAUCAACUACAGAGGCUUCUGGGAUAUUUUCACAAGACAGCGAUUGUCAUACUGUGAGCUGAGAACAGCCGUUUCCUAGAGGAGUAAUUAGAUUGACAGAAGGUGACAUAUUCCAAGCAAUAAAUGGGAGAAAGAGUCCAGACAGGUAAUCCAAAAACCACGUGGAAUCUUUCCUCCCAGACAUGUGGACAUAUGGACCCUGCAUUAUUCCAUUUGCUCAUCGGAAAAACUUGAAAUACGUACAAACUGAUGAUGAUAGGUGACAGGUGCUUCAAAAAUUCUAAUGAAAUAGAAUUUCAUUAGGGGAACAGAUUCUAUUUCGUUACUGAAAGGAAUAUAAAUGAAAAAGAAUGCUACAUGGAGCUCUCAUUUCUUGUUUUAGGCAUUACGUUAUCAACUAGAAAAUCCUUUUCUUAUGCAGUGAUUAAAACUGAUUUUUCCCUUCUUAAAUACUAUUUUGUUAUUUAAAAAAUUUUUUCCUUUUAUUCUUUCAAAAAUUAUCUCGUUAGUAAAAAGAAAUAAGUAAAUUAUUGACCUUUUUCGAUUAUAUGAAGCUGUAUUUUUAUAUUAAUGCUAUUUAAGUAAAAUUCAGCUUUUUUUCAGAGAACCACCAUCACAGACUAAAAGCUUUCAACCACUCAAUUUCUUUACAUGUCUGCAGUCUCAGUCCUCAAGAAUGUAUAUUUUCAUCAUCAUCCUUUUCCUGUGCCUGCCCAUUCUACAUGCAGAGAAACCUGGAGAAACCCCCAAAUUACUCCUAUUAACCUUUGUUAAAAAUCCAAGUAAUCACACUUUGUUGCAUAGGUAGUGUGAUCUUUACUUCAGAGGGUUGAUGUGUCAAGAACACAUGCAGGAAUUAUUACUAUUAGUUGCAUCAAUGUCAUGUUCACACAAAAACCAAGAAAAAAAAGCAUCAACUUAGAAAAGGUAGUUUCCUUUCCUCUGAUCCUGAAUCAUUUUUUUGCUUGUCGUUCACAGCUUUAUGAAGAUAAGUAUCUACUCUUAACAAGCUGAAUAAUCUUUAGAAAGUAGUAAAUUCAUGUAGGAAUAGGAAGUGCAGUUGAAAUGAAUACUGCCUAUAAAUUGAGUUUCUAAGAAUAUUUCCUGAAAGUGUUUCCAUAUUGGUGUGCUGGUACUCACGCUGCUGCUGUUUCCUGACCCUUUAGUAUCUACAGAGAGGUGCUUUGAGGACUGUGCCCAGUGCCUUACUUCAUUUAAAAUUUAUUCGGCAAACAAUUAUUGAAAACCUACCAUGUGCCAGAUACUGUUUUGUACGCUUAUGUGUUAGGAAAGCAGCCAAAUUUAAAACUAAAAAGCUCUGACCUGACUUAUAACAUUGUAUGGUUUUUGCCUUAGGCUGAGGGAAGAUUAGAUGCCAAGAAAUUUCUCCACAGGUUUUAAUAAAACUGUAAGCAUUGUCUAUACUAUCUCUCCCUGUAGUACCAUAGUCCCUUUUCUUUGUUCUUAUUCUAGAAAUGAAGACACAUUAAUAUAUUAAAUCUAGUAUAAUCAGCAGGUAGACUUUAAUUAGGCAAGCAAAUCAUAUCCAAUACAGAGUACAAAAAGUUAGAUUUUAACAAAAAUUAUUCACUUGUGGUAAAAAUUUUAAUAAAAAGUUGAAAAUAUAAAACUGUACAAUACUGUAUUUCUCUAGGUUAUUUAUUAAUGCUCAUUCUAGCCAGAUAUCAACUUCUACUGGGGAAGGGGUGGAUGGGGUUGGAUAUUGUCAUUGUUUUUAUUUUUAUAUGCUUCCUCAAAAGAUAAUCUUAAUAUUGGAGCUGAAAUUUUUUUGACUGAAUCAUUUUCAUCUUCAAAUAAUGGAAAUAAAAGACACACUAAUUAAAGAUUUGAAAGCCUUUUCAUGUAUUGAACACAAGGAAACAUCCACCAACUCUGUCUUAAG
rnacentral:lncRNA from 1 species